UGCUGGAGGUGCUGCGGGAGCGGCGGGUGCCCGUGUCCCUGUGGAUCCUGGUGGGCAGCGCGCUGGGGGGGCUGCUGCUGCUGGCGGCCAUCAGCGUCUGCCUGUGGAAGUUCGGUUUCUUCACCCGCACGAAGCCCCAUGAGGAGGAGGAGGAGGAGCAGUGAUGGCCCCGCGGUUCCCACCCGCCUGCAGCCCCGCAGGAGGGGUUGUGCCCCCCUCCCUUCCCCCCCCCUCAGCGCUGGGGCCGCCCCACGGCUUCUGGAACGGAGCGGGACGGCGCCGGGCAGAGGAGGAGCCGCAUCCCGCAUCCCCGCUGUGGGCUGAGGGGCAGAUGGGGACGGGGCGAUGGCAGCGGUGGGGAUGAGCUGAACCAAUAAACUCCGCCCACCCGAC